rnacentral:sRNA from 1 species
AUUAACCCAUUAAGGAUCUUCUCGCAAGGCGUUUAAAACCGGCCUUUAAUGGGUUAAAUUGUAAAGAAAUAAAAACAUGUAUAUACGUAUUACGUACGUACCAAAAGUUUAUAUGUUGAGUUAUGGAGCUAGGGGCAUAGGAGCAUAGUGCCCUCCUCUUCCGUCCUGCGCGACGCUUUACCUAAUCGGCUUGGACCGGCUCUAUUUGGCGACACGCUUUCUGGACACAAACUGAUAUUCCGCGAUCCCUCCUCUAGCCCCACCCGGUCGCACCCUCUGGUGGCUAGGAAUUCCUCUUGCGUGCCCGCGGUCAGCGAUAUGUAUACCAUCGUUUACCAGGGGCUUCACGCUUCUGGUCUUCCGGUUCAUAUGAUCGAGUGCAAUUUGACUGCAGAAAAUAUUCUUGAUUGGCCCAUGAUAAGGACCAAAUCAAGUAUUUUUGUCUUACGGUCACAGGAAGCUGUCGCACACCAAGGUCGGACCACAAAUAACAAAGAAAUAAAAAUAUGCAUGCAUUAUGAAAUUUGCCAAAAA